UACGUAGGGUGCAAGCGUUGUCCGGAAUUAUUGGGCGUAAAGAGCUCGUAGGCGGUCUGUCGCGUCGGCUGUGAAAUCCCGGGGCUCAACCCCGGGCCUGCAGUGGAUACGGGCUGGCUAGAGGCAGGCAGGGGAGAACGGAAUUCCUGGUGUAGCGGUGAAAUGCGCAGAUAUCAGGAGGAACACCGGUGGCGAAGGCGGUUCUCUGGGCCUGUACUGACGCUGAGGAGCGAAAGCGUGGGGAGCAAACAGG
rnacentral:rRNA from 1 species